GGCGGCGGCGGCCGCCAUGCGGAAGUCGUGCCGGGUUCAACGCUGCUGCAGCGCCGCCGGGCAGCCCCGGGGCUCCGAGCGCCGCUUCAGCUUCUCCGAAAGCCCCACGUCUACCCCUGGAGUCAUGCAGAAGGAUCUGGAUAUGUCCUGGAGGGAUUUGGGGGAGGCCAGGGAGCCCUGGACUCAUCCAGAAGAGUCUGGAGAUGUCCCAGAGGAGUCUUGGGGCAUUCAGGGAGUCCUCAUGUGGGUCUGGAGGGUUCUGGAUUCCUCAGACGGGUCUGGAGAUGCCCCGGAGGUGUUUUGGGGAGACCAGGGGGUCCUGGAGUCCUCCAGGAGUCUCAAAAACUGACAGUUCCCACCGAAAAAGCCCCCUAUGGCCACCAGGUGAUGUGGGGAAAACCGCAGGUGACACCGGGACAACUGCCUGCCCCCACAUUUGUCCCUGUCACCGUGGAACCUGGCGCCAUCCCAACCCUCAUCUAUGCUGAGAGCUCCGUCAGCAUCCUAAAGUUCCGGGAGCCGGGUGACGCCGUCUCCCUGACUUCCCCCGGUGUCCCCAGCCGUUCUCCCUGCUGCGGUGGUGCAACUGGAGGGCUGUGACAUCCUCAUCAAAGAGGCCUGCCUCCAGCCGGACCUGGUAACACUGGAGCUCUCUGGCGCUGUCACCAUUAUGUGCCACAAGGAUGGGGACGUGGUGGUGUACUCUGCUGCCACCAGAGGGGACCGUGUGUGACAUCAGCGUGGAACAGCUGUCAUCGCUGCUGGGUGUUGCUUUUGUCAACAUGCAUGGGGUGUCACUGCUGGGGACACCUCUGUGUCACCCCUUCCAUGUCACACCCCAAAGUUGGAGGCACCCCUCUGCAGAUCCCCCGGUGUCCGUCCUUCUGACCGCAUUGUUCCCAUGCGGGGGUGGGUGGAGUUGAGGGGGGCACACACUUUAUUUUUGUAAAUAAGAUUUAUUUUGUGAUAAGGUGGACUGGGAGACGCCGCCCCCCCAGACCUCUGCAUGAAUAAAAGGCAGAGGAGCGGCUGUGGGGCUCUGCAUGUCACACCGGGGG
rnacentral:lncRNA from 1 species